UACGUAGGGGGCAAGCGUUGUCCGGAUUUAUUGGGCGUAAAGAGCGUGUAGGCGGCCAGGCAGGUCCGCUGUGAAAACUCGAGGCUCAACCUCGAGAGGUCGGUGGAAACCGUCUGGCUAGAGUCCGGAAGAGGAGAGUGGAAUUCCAGGUGUAGCGGUGAAAUGCGUAGAUAUCUGGAGGAACACCGGUGGCGAAGGCGGCGUCCUGGACCAACACUGACACUGAAAAGCGAAAGCCAGGGGAGCAAAUGGG
rnacentral:rRNA from 1 species